CUCAUUUGCACCCAAAAUUGGUUAAGGACCAAACUUGUCGACAUUCGGGAGUUGGAAGAAUACGUACAAUCGAUGGACCUUGAAGAUGAUCAUCUAGCUUCAUUUUCAACAGAGGAUACUGUGAGUCUCUCUUCCCAUUGAUGCU